UCCGAGUUGACCCCGGCAGUCUCCCAUGAGUCCCCACCACUACGUGCUGGCAACAUGGAACGAGGGUUGCGCUCGUUGCGGGACUUAACCCAACAUCUCACGACACGAGCUGACGACAACCAUGCACCACCUGUGAACCAGCCCCGAAGGGAAGGACUAUCUCUAGCCCGGUCUGGAACAUGUCAAGCCUUGGUAAGGUUCUUCGCGUUGCAUCGAAUUAAUCCGCAUGCUCCGCCGCUUGUGCGGGCCCCCGUCAAUUCCUUUGAGUUUUAGCCUUGCGGCCGUACUCCCCAGGCGGGGCACUUAAUGCGUUAGCUACGGCGCGGAAAACGUGGAAUGUCCCCCACACCUAGUGCCCAACGUUUACGGCAUGGACUAC
rnacentral:misc_RNA from 1 species